rnacentral:tRNA from 1 species
CAAGAUGUAGCUAAACCUAAAGCACUCAGCUUACACCUGAGAGAUACCUACCCAUAACAUAGGUCAUCUUGA